CAGCUUGACUUUGAAUUUCCCUAAGUGGAAGAGCCAGGACGCGCUGCUGGGUUAGUGGAUUGCCGUGCGCUAUAUUUAGAAAGCAGCUGGAAGGGAAAAUGUCCUCAGGAAUCCGGACUGUUGUGUUGUAAAUGCCCCUCCAGUCCCAGCACUGUAAAGGCAAACGCUCCUUCUUCCGACGUGCCCGCCCUUCGCGCUGGAUGUCACGCCUGGCGUUAGCACAGACGAAGGCCUGGCUCUUCCUUGGGCUGCCUGGGGACUCAUGAAGGACCUAGCACCUGAGUUCCAGCUCAGCCUGCUUGGAGACUGUAGCAAUGAAGAGCCCCAGCACCUCAGGCCAAUGGGACGUGCCAUUGAAGAACAGUGCUCAAAGGGCCUCAUCCUGUCUUACUGUGAAAUCAUGGGCCAACACAUCUUUCUAACCAAGCCAGCACCCAACCGGAGGAGGACGAGGUGAACGCUGUCGGUGGGCACAGGACAGGAAGAUGAAGCCAACAAAGAAACAGCCCCCCGGCUCCUUGCGCCGGCCUGAGGCUUCUAAUGUGAGGAAAAACACGCGGUGACAAGUGUGGAAAAGAGCAAGCACUAAAUUACUGUCAGAAAAAUAAACGGCGGAGCGCGGUGCUGCGUGGUGAUUUACGGGGGCAAUUAGCCACCGCCCCACGGAGCCGCUGAGGACGGUGGGGCCGCCGCAGCAUCCCCCAGGGCUGGCCCGCACCCUUGGAGCUCGCCCCCAUUUCGUGGCUUUUUUUUUUUUUUUUGCUUACCCUAAAAAUAGGGAUGAGGGGGGAGAGGGGAGCUACCCCAAAAGCGGGAGCCUGUGUUUGUGGGGAAGCUGUGAGCGCUGCGGCUCUGCUUGUCGGUGGUGGCGAGUGGCUGGCGCCCAGGUGUGCGGGGUGAUUGAAAAGGUGAGCAAGUAAAGUUAAAUGAAAAAUGCUCUUGGAGAAGGGAAGCUGGAAAGCGGGGAUGGAAAAGCUGUUGGGGCUGGGUGAGAGGGUGGAGGUGGCCCUGCAGCUGCUGCACGUCUUCUGGAGUUGCUGUAGGCCAUUAAGUGUCUGGGCAGCCCCGCAGGCUUGGACAAGAGCCAGUCCUGCCGCUAACUGGGAGUGGACAUUAAAGAAAUCUUAAUGCUGUUGUUGUACCCGUGUGGAGUCCAGGAGAGGUGUUUUAAUUUGAAGCUAGCAGCAAAGAAAGUACAGCUGGUAGAAGCUCCAGUUCAGCCUGGGACCACGACUGUGAGCCCCACGUCAGCAUGUUGUGGGGCUUCCCCAGGGGCAGCUGGAAGGAUCAUCAUGUCCCUGGUCUAGUAUGAUCUGUGACCCGGACCAUGUGCCUGGGAAGGAUACCUGGGCCUCAGAGCUGCCAGACUCUGAUUUCUAUCCCUAAAGGGAUAGCAGUGAUGCCGCUUUGCUUCAGCUUGUUACUGGGUCCACUUCUAGCACACAGUGGUUCUGUAACUGUUCCAUCCUGCCUGCUAUCCUUGACCCAGCCAUCCUUCCUUAGUUGGUUUUCAUUUUCUAAGGCUGUAUUGGUCACCUAGAGCUUGUGUCCAUCCCCUGAGCAGGGCCUGGCUCCUGCAGGAGGCAGCCGUAUCUGACUUUGGAUGCAUACUCCCAUUAGACCUGCCAGCCCGGCGUCUGGCUCCUCCAAAUAGUUGGCACUUGGAUCAUGGGAGACAGCCUGUCCGAGCUCACUGCAACAGCUGGUGCCAGCCAGCUCUUCAAGGACUGGUGCCAGCAGCAGGAGGAGCGUGCCAGGGCCUGCUCAUCAAACAGACCAGCAGCCAUCCCAUGGCUGCCACCAGGGGACAAAGGGAAAAGCAGCAGAGCAAGUCCCUCUCGACAUGGCACCUCGUGGGAAAGGCAGAUGUGUGCCUUUUGAAAGAGGAUGCAAGCCGGAGGAAGAAGAGCUGCUGCAGGUCUGGGUGACCUUGGUAAGUGGCAUUUCCUCCUUGCUCCAGUUUCUCAUCUGGUGAGAAUUGUGUGAUACCUGCCUUUGGGAAAGCACUCAAGACUUAUGAAUGGAAAACAAAUCAUAGAAGCGAAGCAGCAGUGUUUAUUUUGGGGUCUGCCCUUGGCUGCUUCCUCGCUUUCUAGAAGUGGUUCUCGUGGGGAUGUGGGUGCGUGCACACACGAGGUGCUCCUGGUGCUCACCUUCCCUCACAAGGCAGAGCCCUGCUUCUCCCGCGGGUUGCUAGGCUGCCUCCUAUUAAGUGAUGUGACCAGCAUCUCUCUUGUAAUUCUCUUCCUCCCACUGGAAAAACUGUUUG